rfam:Ricinus communis cultivar Hale ctg_1100012360688, whole genome shotgun sequence.
AUGAUAAGAGGCUGUCUCGUUAGCCAAGGAGACUGCCUACGAAACCACAUGCAAAUUGUAGACCUGCAACUGCAAGUUGCUUUAGUCACUAAAAACAUGCAAUUGGGGCUGCAGGCAAGUCAUCCUUGGCUACCAAACGAGACUCUUCAUCU